UAGUUAAACUUAAUGUCUUUAAAAAUCUCAAAAUUAUAUUGAUGGUGCAAACAUAUUCUAUUGAUUUGUGUUUUUAUUGCUUGAUGCUUGCCGUUCACUUUAGGUUUAAAAUAUAAAUUCAUGUUCAUGUAUUUCUUAUAACCUAAAAAUUCUACAACCAUUCACUGAACCGUGAUAAGGUUGUCAUUAUCACUGUCUACAGUGACGUAAUCACUAAUAUCUAUUCCCUCGUUGCAUUAUUGUUUUGUUUAUUUGUUAACUGGUAAUAACCAGUUAACAUGGUUUCAAUUUUUGUUUUUUCAUCGAUCGGUUGAUUCUUACGCAAGUUGUUAGUGACUAGUGUUCAGUGCUAGACGUAGUGUGUUAGUCUUUGUUGUUUAUGUGUUGUAUGCCACAGUGUUUGGGUGUCACAAUUCAAUUGUCUCUUCCAUUAACGUAAGUAAACACGGAUAUUUAGUUCCGUCACCUGGGCAAAAUAUCGCCUUUACUUGUUUCAAUAGAAGUCAAUCAUUUAUUCACAUUAAUUACUAAAAUAAAUAAACCAUAGUAAACUGUGAAAAUUAAAAUUGAUUAUAAGAUUUUAUAUGUAACCCAUUCAAACGUUCAUUACCUACCUCCAUUAUUUUAAUAAUUCAUUCUAAUCUUAUAGAGUAUUCAUAAUAAAUGAGUUAGUAAGUAU